rnacentral:rRNA from 1 species
UACGAAGGGGGCUAGCGUUGCUCGGAAUUACUGGGCGUAAAGGGCGCGUAGGCGGCACUGUUAGUCAGGCGUGAAAGUCCUGGGCUCAACCUGGGAACUGCGCUUGAUACGGCAGAGCUAGAGGAUGGAAGAGGGUCGCGGAAUUCCCAGUGUAGAGGUGAAAUUCGUAGAUAUUGGGAAGAACACCGGUGGCGAAGGCGGCUCACUGGCUCGUAUCUGACGCUCAGGCGCGACAGCGUGGGGAGCAAACAGG